CUCCGUUCGGUCACACACUGUGUGCUUGAAGUUUGGACUUGCUAUUUACUCGCAAUUUAAAUCUUAAUCAUUAAGUUCUUCCUCAUUCGCUACGUAUUUGUCUCUCCUACUUAGGGUGACCAAACCCUUAAUACAUUUAUACAAACAAAACUGCUUUAAAAACGGUCUGUCCCUCGAGCAUCCGCCUGUUGUUUGUAGCUUUAGCCUGCUAGCGCCGCUGGUCAGCUAAAGCUACCGACCUCUUUAACCAUACACUUUUGACUUACUGGCUUUGCUCUUUACCCCGUAAAAUGUCGCUUCCGUCUCUGUCCUUGUGUGCAGGAGAAGCAUCGAUGGAGGCGUUGGAGCUGGAGCUGGAAGAAGUGGAGUCCCAGAUCCGCGCGCUGGUGGUAAGACGGUCGCGGCUACGGGAACGGCUUCUAGCCGUACCUCAUGCUAAGGCCGUCUCAUCACCUAAGGUACGUGGAAAUUACAACCACAUCAUUCCCUCUACCUCAACCCCGCGUCCUUCUCUGUCCAGGCCCAGCGCACCCGGGGCGCGGCUCAGCCAGGCGUCGUUCACGCCGACACCCGGCUACCACGGCGCCUGGGUGCAGCCGCGCAAGGUGCUUCCCAGAUCCCGGGGCAGAACGUCUCCGCCUGUGUUCGAGAUCUCCACGGAGAACCGCUUCUCCCCGCUCCGCGAGUCGGGUCCGAUGUGGCCAUCAUCGGUGACUCGAUCGUUCGUCACGUCCGUGCCGCCUCCUCAAAAGGUAAUAAAGUACGUACUUUCUGCUUUCCUGGUGCCCGUGUGAAAAAUAUUUCUACACAGAUUCCAACCAUCCUGGGCGCUGCCGAGAGCCCUGGUGCCGUUGUCCUCCACGUGGGGACAAACGACACCGGGCUCCGGCAGUCGGAGAUCCUGAAGAAGGACUUCAGGAGCCUGAUCGAGACGGUUCGACGCACCUCGCCCGCCACGCAGAUCAUCGUUUCUGGGCCGCUUCCUACCUACCGCCGAGGAAAUGAAAGGUUCAGUAGACUUUUAGCUUUGAAUGAAUGGCUAAUAACAUGGUGUAAAGAACAAAAAUUGCUCUUUGCUAAUAACUGGAAUCUUUUCUGGGAGCGUCCUAGGCUCUUCCGUCCUGACGGCCUGCACCCCAGUCGAGCCGGAGCUGAACUCCUGUCGGACAACAUCUCCAGACUACUUCGCACCAUCUGACUAGCAGGUAAAAAUUCACAAAAUUCACACUAUAGCCACCUAGACUCUUGUUCACCCCACUUAAACAUCAGUAACGCAUAUCUGGCGAAUCCUAUAGAGACUGUGUCUGUUCCUCGUAUUAUUAGAUUAAGAAAUAAACGUACUGUGUGCUCCAGGAAAAAUCUAGUAAGAAUCAAACCAGAAAAACCAGUAGAAAGUGAAAAUACAAAUUUCGUAAAACUUGGUCUCCUAAACAUCAGGUCACUUGCACCUAAAGCACUUAUCAUUAAUGAAAUAAUAACAGAAAACAAUCUUAAUGUACUCUGUCUCACUGAAACCUGGCUGAAACAAAAUGACUAUAUUUGCUUAAAUGAAGCAACUCCUCCAGGAUUCUUAUAUAAACAUGAGGCUCGUCAAACUGGUCGUGGUGGUGGAGUUGCAUCAAUCUUUAGUGAUUUCCUUAAUAUUAAACAGAGAAACGAACUUAUGUUUAGCUCUUUUGAAGUAUUAUCGCUUAAUGUUCAGCUUCCACAUACUAUACAAAAACCUAUGUUAUCUCUCGCUUUAAUCACCAUAUAUAGACCCCCAGGACCCUAUGUCAAAUUUCUAAAAGAAUUUUCUGAUUUUAUUUCUGACUUACUAGUCAAAACUGAUAAAAUGCUAAUUGUAGGUGACUUUAACAUCCACAUAGAUGACGCUAAUGAUACAUUAGGGCUCGCGUUUAUGGAUUUAAUACACUCACUUGGGAUAAAGCAAAACGUUGUGGGUCCAACCCAUCGCUUAAAGCAUACAUUAGAUCUAAUUCUGUCUUAUGGAAUCGAGGUUAUUGACGUAGACAUUAUACCACAAAGUGAUGAUAUUACAGAUCACUACCUCUUACUAUAUAAGCUAUGUUUACCUGAAAUCAGCAAACCCGCUCUAAUACUCCGCCCUAGUAGAACUAUUGUUCCGUCAACUAAAGAUGAAUUUAUAAAUAACUUACCUGAUCUCUCUCUAUUUCGUAAUGCACCCGCAAACUCAAAUGAUCUUGAUGUAGUAACCAGCAGUAUGGAUGCCAUCUUUACUAGCACACUAAAUACUGUGGCACCCAUCAAAUUAAAAAAGGCUAGAGAGAUUAAAACUAUACCAUGGUAUAAUAGUCAUACUCGUGCGCUCAAAACAGCAACCCGCGCCCUGGAACGUAAAUGGAAAAAAACUAAUUUAGAGGUCUUUAGAAUUGCGUACAAAGACAGUAUGUCCAGCUAUAGGAGGGCUCUAAAAUCUGCCAGGACCGAGCACCUGCGCAAACUGAUAGAAAAUAAUCAUAACAAUCCUAGAUUUUUAUUUAACACCACUCUAAAUUAGCAAAUAAUCGGUCAUCCUUGGAACAAACUACUCCACCGCAAAUUAGUAGUGAUGAUUUCAUGAAUUUUUUCAGUAAUAAAAUAGAAGGCUUUAGACAGAAAAUAGGAGAUGCCAAACUUUCUGCACCGGCUUAUACUCUAAAUCCUGUAAAUAUUUCAUUAAAUCAUAGUAAUAACCUACACUGCUUCAAAAUCAUAGAACAUGAAGAGUUAGUAAAAAUUAUAAAUAGCUCUAAACCAGCUACGUGUAUGCUGGACUCAAUUCCAACAAAAUUACUGAAAGAGCUGCUACCUGCUAUAGGAGAACCUCUUCUUAACAUUAUCAACUCUUCUUUAUCUAUAGGCCAUGUUCCAAACUCUUACAAGCUAGCUGUUAUUAAGCCUAUUAUUAAGAAACCGCAACUAGACACCAACAACUUAGCUAACUAUAGGCCGAUUUCAAAUCUUCCAUUUAUGUCUAAAAUACUAGAAAAAGUUGUUUCCACUCAAUUAUGCUCUUAUCUGCAGACGAACAAUAUUUUUGAAGUGUUUCAGUCAGGUUUCAGGGCUCACCACAGUACAGAAACCGCCU
ensembl:lincRNA